ACUCCUACGGGAGGCAGCAGUGGGGAAUAUUGGACAAUGGGCGCAAGCCUGAUCCAGCCAUGCCGCGUGAGUGAUGAAGGCCCUAGGGUUGUAAAGCUCUUUCACCGGUGAAGAUAAUGACGGUAACCGGAGAAGAAGCCCCGGCUAACUUCGUGCCAGCAGCCGCGGUAAUACGAAGGGGGCUAGCGUUGUUCGGAUUUACUGGGCGUAAAGCGCACGUAGGCGGACUAUUAAGUCAGGGGUGAAAUCCCGGGGCUCAACCCCGGAACUGCCUUUGAUACUGGUAGUCUUGAGUUCGAGAGAGGUGAGUGGAAUUCCGAGUGUAGAGGUGAAAUUCGUAGAUAUUCGGAGGAACACCAGUGGCGAAGGCGGCUCACUGGCUCGAUACUGACGCUGAGGUGCGAAAGCGUGGGGAGCAAACAGGAUUAGAUACCCCGGUAGUCCCA
rnacentral:rRNA from 1 species